GGGCCCGUAGUACACCGGUAGUAUGCCUCCAUGGCAUGGAGAAGAAAGGGGUUCGAUUCCCCUCGGGUCCACCA
rnacentral:tRNA from 1 species